UACUUGAUGUUAACCUAAUUAAAAUAUUAAUGUCUUUAUAAUUUUUUUUUUCUUUGCAGUUUUUCUGGUCCUUAAUAAAAGGUGUGCUUUACUCGCAACAGAAUGCAACUGUUGAGAAGAAGAGGGAGUGCCUUAUCAAGGCACUUUGUGUCUACCUAAAUGAAGAACUGGACAGUCUCUUCAAAGAAUAUCUGGAUACAGAUGGCUGUGCUGCAGAGAGGAUCUUGAACAUGUUGUAUUUGGCAUCUACAGCAUCAAUGUUGGAUGUGAUGCCACUACCUCUCCAGCUGAUGUUGGAAUUGUUAUUGAGGGUGUUGAAGUGCUUCAUGACUUGGGAGACAUCGCUACUACAUGUACGGUCUUAAUGUCUCCAGUUAUCCUCAGGAACUGAAAAUAUUCUGAGGUACUGCAGAAGAUCUUCCUUCAGCUGGAUGCUACCAGACUUUCACCAAAAGUACAGAUGCUUAAAAACAAACUUUAAGUAUAAAC